GUGGAGGAGGCCUUGACUCAGUCUCUCACUGCCCUUUGAGCCCAAUUCAGGAUACACUUCCUGAAAGGAGGUCUCUCUCCUGGGCAAAUGCAAACAAGUGGCGACUUAAUGAUGCCUCCUCCCAAUUACUUGGAUAGGAAAAUGCUUUCUGUGAAUGCUCCAAGGUAAAGAGAUCAAAGGAUUUGUCACAACUACAGUGCCCGGUCUGCAGCAUGUUCUCUAAGUGUGGUCCCCAGCCACCUGACAGCCACAGCAUCACCUGGGACCUUGUUCAAAAUGCAAAUUCUCAAGCCUCAUCCUGGACCUACAGAAUGGAAAACUCUGGGGAUGGAGCCCAGAAGUCUGUGUUCACAACUUGUCUGGAUGGCGCUCAGGUUUAAAGACCACUGGCCCGUAUAUUUACAGAGGGGAAAGGAAGACUCCAGACGUUUGUAAGAGUCAUUUUUGGUUCCCAGAAAAAAGAAAUCAUGAAACAAAGAGAAUUAAGACUCAGAUCUCCGUAGGUUACUUGUUACCCCUGUUCAGCGACAAUGAGGAUGGAGAGCUGGGGAGAUUAUAGAGACACUUUAGUUUCUAGAGCUUGGGCUGCUGCUAAUAUACCUGGUGAGACACCUACAGACCCCAGGAUCGCCAUGACACCCCUUUUGCAAAGACACUACUCCCUAGGAACAUCUUUAUCGUUUUGUGUAAUUUUUCUUUAUCUUCUGUAAUUUCUACGGAGGCCCUUUCUUUCUCUCAUUUUCCAUGUAAAUGAAGUAAAGACAACAGUUA